AUUGAGGUGGCAGAGCGUGGUAAUUGCGAAAGGCCUAAGCCCUUUUUACAGGGGUUCAAAUCCCCUCCUCAAUU
rnacentral:tRNA from 1 species